GACGAACGCUGGCGGCGUGCUUAACACAUGCAAGUCGAACGGAAAGGCCCUGCUUUUGUGGGGUGCUCGAGUGGCGAACGGGUGAGUAACACGUGAGUAACCUGCCCUUGACUUUGGGAUAACUUCAGGAAACUGGGGCUAAUACCGGAUAGGAGCUCCUGCUGCAUGGUGGGGGUUGGAAAGUUUCGGCGGUUGGGGAUGGACUCGCGGCUUAUCAGCUUGUUGGUGGGGUAGUGGCUUACCAAGGCUUUGACGGGUAGCCGGCCUGAGAGGGUGACCGGCCACAUUGGGACUGAGAUACGGCGCAGACGCCUACGGGACGCAGCAGUGGAGAAUAUUGCACAAUGGGCGGAAGCCUGAUGCAGCAACGCUGCGUGCGGGAUGACGGCCUUCGGGUUGUAAACCGCUUUCGCAUGUGACGAAGCGUGAGUGACGGUAAUGGGUAAAGAAGCACCGGCUAACUACGUG
rnacentral:rRNA from 1 species